rnacentral:rRNA from 1 species
UACGGAGGGUGCGAGCGUUAUCCGGAAUUACUGGGUUUAAAGGGUGCGUAGGCGGCCAUGUAAGUCAGGAGUGAAAGUUUGCGGCUCAACCGUAAAAUUGCUUUUGAUACUGCAUGGCUGGAAUCAGGAUGAGGUCAGCGGAAUGUGGCAUGUAGCGGUGAAAUGCAUAGAUAUGCCAUAGAACACCAAUUGCGAAGGCAGCUGGCUAGACCUGUAUUGACGCUGAGGCACGAAAGCGUGGGGAGCGAAC